rnacentral:tRNA from 1 species
GGUCGGGUAGCUCAGUUGGUAGAGCGUCCGCCUGAAAAGCGGAAGGUCACCGGAUCGAUACCGGUCCCGACCA